CCGAUUGCGAAGGCAGCUUGCUGGACUGUAACUGACGCUGAGGCACGAAAGCGUGGGGAUCAAACAGGAUUAGAUACCCUGGUAGUCCACGCCNUAAACGAUGAAUGCUAGCUGUUAGCGAUAUACUGUUAGCGGCACAGAGAAAUCGUUAAGCAUUCCACCUGGGGAGUACGCCGGCAACGGUGAAACUCAAAGGAAUUGACGGGGGCCCGCACAAGCGGAGGAACAUGUGGUUUAAUUCGAUGAUACGCGAGGAACCUUACCUGGGCUUAAAUUGCAGUGGAAUAACGUGGAAACAUGUUAGCCUUCGGGCCGCUGUGAAGGUGCUGCAUGGUUGUCGUCAGCUCGUGCCGUGAGGUGUCGGCUUAAGUGCCAUAACGAGCGCAACCCUCAUCGAUAGUUACUAACAGGUUAAGCUGAGGACUCUAUCGAGACUGCCGACGUAAGUCGUGAGGAAGGUGGGGAUGACGUCAAAUCAGCACGGCCCUUACGUCCAGGGCUACACACGUGUUACAAUGGGGGGUACAAAGGGCAGCUACCUGGCGACAGGAUGCUAAUCUCAAAAACCUCUCUCAGUUCGGAUUGGAGUCUGCAACCCGACUCCAUGAAGCUGGAUUCGCUAGUAAUCGCGCAUCAGCCACGGCGCGGUGAAUACGUUCCCGGGCCUUGUACACACCGCCCGUCAAGCCAUGGGAGCCGGGGGGACCUGAAGUAUGCAACCGUAAGGAGCGUCCUAGGGUAAAACUGGUGACUGGGGCU
rnacentral:rRNA from 1 species